GCUGACACAAGGGGAGUGUGACAGAAAUAUCUGGGGGCUGCCAUGUUUCUCCUUUUGUGUUUUAUGUUGACUCCAUGGGAGCGAAGCGGCCCUUCCAGGAAAAUCCCUAACCCAAGCGGAAUGCAGAGUGGACAAAGUCAGCUGAUCCACCAAUCCGAGCUGAGACUUACAGAGCACCUACUACGCACCAGGCUGUAUAUCAAAUAUGCUGUCAUCAGUAUGUCAUCGGAUCCUCACAGCGGUCCCACAAGAGAAAAAAAUUGAGGCUCUGAAAAGCAAAGCUACUCACCAAGGUCAAAGAAAGGUGGGGCUGGGAUUUGAACCCUUCUUUCGGAGCCCCGAGCACAUGCUAAGAACCAUGAAGCCACUGGUUUUCUGAUUAUGGACCCUGGACCAUCAGCAUCAGAAUCACCCCCGGGUGUGGCCAUUUAAGAUGCAGAUCCCUGGGCCCCACCCAGAUGCCUUGAACUUGAACGUCUGGAGGAGGGUGGUCUCCGCUCUGCAUUUUGAACCAAGUUCCCCAAAUCAGGUCCCUGCCUUGGCUGAGGCUUGCAAAUCACCCUACAAGACUCAGGUUCCAGGCCGGCCCUUCAACUGUGAUUCAUAAACAGCUUUCCAAGCGUUCGUGACCUCCUGCUAAACUGGAGUGCUGUACAACACACGUUCAUUCCCUCUCCUCGUCCCGUCAGAGCAAUGCAGACCGUUCUGCCCCAUUGACUUUGAAUGAGACCACAUGACUGACUUCACCCAAUGGAGUGUGAACAGAUGGGAUGUGAUAGAACCUUGAACCCUGUUUGCACACUGUGCCUUGUCUCUCGAGCUUCUGCCAUCCACACAAAAAGGAAAGAGCAGCUGUCCCUUCAGAAUCAGACACGGGGCAGAGCUGAACUGUCCCGAAACCCAGAUCCAAGUGCAGCCAACCCAUAGUGUGAAAUGGAAACGCCUCCGGGAUCUGACCAUAAACACAUGAGCAAGAAAUUAGAGGAAGCAAGAAAAGUAGGUGCUUGUUGUUGGUAGCCAUUGAGUUGAGGGAUGAUUUGUUAUGCAGCAUAACUUCAGCUAUGGCUGACUGAUACAGCUAAAAUAUAUAUCCUGUGUUGUGUGUCCACUUUUAUAUUGUGGGCCCACUGUUCUGGAAGGAAGAUACAGAGAACUUCCAGCAAGUUGUCAAGAGACCAGGGGCCCAAAAAGUAUUGAGAGCCACAGAUCUACUAGAAAGUCCUCCCCAUUCUCUGCGGAACCUCAGGCUCCGGGACUGACUUGAGCUGAGUGAGUUUCCACAAUCCCUCCCUGCCUCUUGUAAUGCAAAUGUUUAUUUCAGCCUUAAACUUUAAGGGGUCUGGCCAAAUGUGCCACAGCAGUUCUGAGAAGGUGGUCUGAGGGAUGGCCCACUUUCAAAUCUUUAAACUCUUAAAAUUAUCACAAGAGACAGAGAGAGAGAGAGAGAGAGAGAGAGAGAGAGAGGAAGAAAUGGGAAGAGGAAUUAUUAAAGUUCAGAGACAUUUUCUAAGAUUCCCCCGCUUUGGAACCUUAUAACUUGCCCAUUUAUCUCUCCAGUGGAAGGAAAUUUAUCUCUACCUCUGAAAUAAACAUCAGCAACUCAGUCAAUGUUUUGCCAGAAACAUGAAAAAUUAAAAAUAUCAGGUUGGGCUGGCUUCUGUGUAAAUAUGUACAGGAUCUACAUUCGACACCUCAAUCAUGAAAAUUAUGUUAACAUGUCACAGGACAUUAAUAUUUUCAAGACCAUUGGGCAAUAUUUCUAGAAAUGUGUGACUACAGGCAAUUUACAUUUUUGUUUGGACCUGCAGGCCAUGAAGGAAGAGCCCCAAGGGCACCUGGUAGGAGGGGUGAGGCCCCCCAGAGGGUGGGACGUGACCCAGCCAAGGUUUCGUUUGUUUUGUGUCCCUGCUCAUCUAUUAUCCAAGUUGGAGGCCGAGCAAGCCGAUCUGUUAGCAAUCUCUUCGCCUGCGCCGGCCGCAUCCCCUCAGCUGCUGUCAGUGGAACAUUUCAUCACGGAUGGAUGGGUUCUGCCCGGUCAGGGAGACGCAACUGAACUUGAACGGAGUCCAGCUGGCAGGGUGUCUGAUUGCCAAAAUGACCUGCUGCUUUCAAGGAGAGCAGAAUUCAAACGGUGGUCAGUGAGGUGCUCAAGGUGAUGCAGGGUGAGAAAGGGCGCCGGCACUGGCAUGCCACCACCGAGGGCCACACCGGAACUGCAGGACAGGUUCGGCCCCCGACCCCGCCGCUUAGGAUGGCGGGAACUGAAACGGCUUCUUCUCCCCUCCGCCUCCCAGUAGCGGCCAGGCUCUCGGUCCUGUUAUGUUUUGAUGCAUCUUUUGUUUGUCAAUGUAGUCGGCCUAGGUUUGGAUCCCAGAUUUGUUGUGCAUUGUAAGGGCAUUACUUAACUUCUCUGUGUCUCUGUAAUCUUACUGCACAGUGAGGACAACAUACCUUGAAAAUUAAAUGAGCUGGUAAGAUGGGUAGUGCCAUGUGGAAGUUAAGAACAUGGGCUGUGGAACUUCUGGCUGGGUUUGAAUCCCAGCUCUACCACUCACCUGCUGUGCAGCCUAGAGCAAGCUGCUUCACCUCUCUGUGCUUCAGUUUCUUCAUAUAUGACAUGAACAUGGCAAUGGUUCUCACCUGGAAGGCUUGUCUUAAUGUUACUACAGUCAGCACUUCUGGGCCUAAGUCUAGGACCUUGGGGGUUUAUAGUGUUCUCCCAGCUGGUUCUGCAAGCAGGUGGGGGCGCAGGGCAUCUCUGUGAGAAAAUUGUCUGUGUGUCCUUGGAUAACUGACUUCCCUCCUCUGAGCUUCGGUCUCUGCAUCCAUAAAAUGGAACAAUUAGACUGAAUGGUCUGUUAAUUGCUCCUUUAAAACUUUGUGAUUUCUGUGGGCACGUACACGGACCCCAAAGAUGCUGCUUCAUGCCUCUGUGCCUUUGCACAUGCUGUUCCUUCUGCCUGGAGAAACCACCCUUCCUCUGUCCACCGGGGAGCGUCUGCUCCCCUUCCACACCUCGGCCCUCAGGUUGUGUCCUCGGCAAACCCUCCAUCUCAUCCAAGCAAAGAGGAUGAAGCCUGGCCCUGGCCUCUCUACUCGCUCUUAGACUCAGGCUCCUGGUGCACUCACCCCCUUGUAUUAAACUCAUGGGAUGCACGCAGACCGAGUCUGUUCAUCCUCCUACAGCCCCACUGCCAGCAAGCCAG